rnacentral:rRNA from 1 species
UACGAAGGGGGCUAGCGUUGCUCGGAAUCACUGGGCUUAAAGCGUGUGUAGGCGGGUCGUUAAGUACCUUGUGAAAUCCCAUGGCUCAACCAUGGAACUGCUGGGCAUACUGGCGAUCUUGUGCCACCUAGGGGCGAGCGGAACAGAUGGUGGAGCGGUGAAAUGCGUAGAUAUCAUCUGGAACGCCAAUGGUGAAAACAGCUCGCUGGGGGUGUGCAGACGCUGAGACACGAAAGCCAGGGGAGCGAACGGG